UACGGAGGAUCCGAGCGUUAUCCGGAUUUAUUGGGUUUAAAGGGUGCGCAGGCGGGGGAUUAAGUCGGCGGUGAAAUUUUGCAGCUCAACUGUAACAGUGCCGUUGAUACUGCAUGGUUAGGAUUUGGUUGCUGUGGGCGGAAUGUGUGGUGUAGCGGUGAAAUGCUUAGAUAUCACACAGAAUAUCAAUUGCGAAGGCAGCUCACAAAGCCAAGAUUGACGCUGAGGCACGAAAGUGUGGGGAUCAAACAGGA
rnacentral:rRNA from 1 species